AUAAAGGCAUUGAAGAGGCCAGUAGUAAAGAGCAUCUGCUUUCAGAGACACAAUCAUUUUGGUGAAAGAUUGUGACAGUACUUUUUAUGAAGAUCCCCUCGGAGCUGAAAAUCUGAAAGAGAGUAAGAUUUUUCGUCAGCAUACGUUACAUGCAUUGAGUGAUAGAAUGUGAUCCUAUGUAGUUGGAUAGUACUAUAUUCUAUAAUCAGGGUGGUACCGCGAUCAAUUUAUGAAUUCGUCCCUAAG
rnacentral:ncRNA from 1 species